rnacentral:lncRNA from 1 species
AGGAUACGCUGUUAGUUCUAUAGAUGCUGUUAGUUUAAGGGAACUGAAUAGCACAAUGACAUCCGUGCCAGUCCUUUCUCUCUUCACACCCACACUGCCUGCUGAGGGGACAGGGAAGAUGGAAUUGUCUAUGAACAACAGACAAGAAAAAAGCCUGCGAAUGCCUUGGGCGGGAUGUGCGAGAUUCCUUGAUGGCAGGCCCACAGACCGGAAUGAGAUGCCACCCUCUGUUGCCAACGUCCCUAAAUACAGCCAAGACCCUAAGAAGUGAUUGAAAUGGAAACAUAAUGGUUCUUUGGAAAAUCUGUCCAGUGGCAUUUUGCUGUGGCAAACAUGUGAAGGAACGUUUCGUUAAAGUGGACACAGGUGUGAGAGGCUCAGGCAGACAUGUGAAGGAUCGUUCCACUGAAGCAGACACAGGAGAGAGGAUGUUCUGCUAAAGCAAGCACGUGAAAGGACACAUGACGAAGGACUUUUUGCUAACAACACUCAUGUAUUGGUGUGCCUUACACUGCAGAGAUGAGCUGCAUUUGUCGGGACUCCAUAGAGAGAAAUGCACCAAAAAAAAAAUUAUCUGGUGGUGUGCUGCAGUUUCUUACUGCUUCUGUGGACUCAGGCUGACUGGAUGAACAUGCUGAGGCAAGAAUCAUACUGAGGCAAGCCCCGUGGAGGACACGUGGUGUUUGGAGAGGGCAAUGCUUGUGGGUCUCACAUCUUUGCUGAUCUUCGCUUCCCUGAGAGAGGCACAGCCAAGAACUUCUCCUGGUGUUCCUGUUGGUCCCUCCUGCUGACUCAAGCCUAGAUUGAGGCCUGGCUGUCCUGCU